rnacentral:rRNA from 1 species
CGCUCAAAAGACGUUUAUGUCAUGCUCAUAUUCGUCGCCCAGGGAUGGGGCCGCGACCGAUCAGGUAGUUGGUGAGGCAAUGGCUCACCAAGCCUUUUACCGGUGCGGGCCGUGAGAGCGGGAGCCCGGAGAUGGGCACUGAGACAAGGGCCCAGGCCCCACGGGGCGCAGCAGUCGCGAAAAUUUUGCAAUACACGAAAGUGUGACAGAGCUAUCCCGAGUGCCAUCCGCUGAGGAAGGCUUUUACCCAGUAUAAAUAGCUGGGAGAAUAAGGAGAGGGCAAGUCUGGUGUCAGCCGCCGCGGUAAUACCAGCUCUCCGAGUAGUGUGGACGUUUAUUGGGCCUAAAGCAUCCGUAGCUUGCUAGAUAAGUCCUCUGUUAAAUCCACCGAUUCAAUCGUUGGAUUGCGGGGGAUACUGUUUGGCUAGGGGACGGGAGAGGUCGACGGUAUUUCCGGGGUAGGGGUGAAAUCCUAUAAUCCCGGGAGGACCACCAGUGGCGAAGGCUGUCGACUAGAACGCGCCCGACGGUGAGGGAUGAAAGCUGGGGGAGCGAACCGGAUUAGAUACCCGGGUAGUCCCAGCUGUAAACGAUGCAGGCUAGGUGUUUGGGCGGCCACGAGCCGCCCUAGUGCCGCAGGGAAGCUGUUAAGCCUGCCGCCUGGGGAGUACGGCCGCAAGGCUGAAACUUAAAGGAAUUGGCGGGGGAGCACCACAAGGGGUGAAGCUUGCGGUUUAAUUGGAUUCAACGCCGGG